rnacentral:tRNA from 1 species
GCAGUAGUGGUUCAGUGGUAGAAUUCUCACCUUCCAUGUGGGAGACCCAGGUUUGAUUCCCAGCCAGCA